AUGAAUGAUGGUAUUUCAGCUGCUGCAGGUGGGCCAGACAGUGUGAUGGCUGGGAUCUGCAUCCUUCCCCCUGCUUCCGCAAGGAGUAUGAAGAAUGCUAAGCAACACCCACCAUGGCUUGCUCCUCUGCAGCGCAAGGGUGACCAGCAUCCCACCAUGCCAAGGAGGUCAAUUGAAGUUUAGCUGCCGACUUCGUGAACAGGAUUUCAACCCAUGUCUGCGAUUAGUGAUGAAAUGAAAUCCACGGCUUGAAAUCAUUUAUCCAGCACAUCCGAUCAAACACAAACAUCUCCGUGCUUGAAAAUAAAUGAGGGUUGGAGCCAGCUAGGCUGCUGCA
rnacentral:lncRNA from 1 species